rnacentral:tRNA from 1 species
GCGUCCGCAGCUCAGUUGGUAGCAGCGCCGCUGUGACAUGGCGGAGGUCGGCCGUUCAAAACCCGUCGGGACGCACCA